ACCGUCGCAAACCCAAAACUAUUCUUCUUCAACCUCCCAUCUGGUCUCGACGUAUUGAUCGCGGUCGCCGUCCACGCCACCAAAGUGUCAUCCACAAUGUAUGGCGAUGUCCAAUCUGAAGUCCCCCAGCCAUCUUCAUCUCCUGUGAAGCCCGCCUCAACUUCGUGCCGAAAGACGAACUCCGUCAACACCUCUUUUGUCACGCAACUAAGAGAUCACUUCCACGAGUUUAUUCAUGCCUCCAUGGACGAACACAGGACAUGCUUAACAAACACUGUCAAGAAAUUGUUUGCGAUGUCAAAGGCCGUCGCAGAGAGAACCGCUGGGGCAAAAGAAGCUGGAGCUGAAAGCGUUUUGCCACUUCAGAGUGAAGUGUCGCGGUAG
rnacentral:rRNA from 1 species